rnacentral:ncRNA from 2 species
UUCCUCGUUUUAGCGCCAUGCACCAGUUAAUACUGGUUAACGAGGAGGAGGGAUUUUCGAAAAUUCGGCGGGUGCCCUCCCGUGCAGCCUAGCGCGUACGCAUUGGCAAAUAUGCAGGUAACUGCAAAACAAAAACAGUGCGAUAGGUAUUA